rnacentral:tRNA from 1 species
CNAUUGGUCUUAGGAACCAAAAACCUUGGUGCAACUCCAAAUAAAAGUA